rnacentral:rRNA from 1 species
AUUGAACGCUGGCGGCAGGCCUAACACAUGCAAGUCGAACGAGUGGCGGACGGGUGAGUAAUGUCUGGGAAACUGCCUGAUGGAGGGGGAUAACUACUGGAAACGGUAGCUAAUACCGCAUACUAUCAGCUGUGCCCAUAUGGGAUUAGCUUGUUGGUGGGGUAACGGCUCACCAAGGCGACGAUCCCUAGCUGGUCUGAGAGGAUGAGCAGCCACACUGGGAAUGAGACACGGCCCAGACUCCUACGGGAGGCAGCAGUGGGGAAUAUUGCACAAUGGGCGCAAGCCUGAUGCAGCCAUGCCGCGUGUAUGAAGAAGGCCUGAGGGUUGUAAAGUACUUUCAGCGGGGAGGCGUUACCCGCAGAAGAAGCACCGGCUAACUCCGUGCCAGCAGCCGCGGUAAUUC